AAGUUUAGUGGCGGACGGGUGAGUAACGCGUGAGUAACCUGCCUUUCACAGGGGGAUAACGUUUGGAAACGAACGCUAAUACCGCAUAACAUAUCGGAGUCGCAUGGCUCCGGUAUCAAAGUAUUUUAUCGGUGAAAGNUGGACUCGCGUCCGAUUAGGUAGUAGGUGAGGUAACGGCUCACCUAGCCGACGAUGUCUAGGGGGUUCUGAGAGGAAGGUCCCCCACACUGGAACUGAGACACGGUCCAGACUCCUACGGGAGGCAGCAGUGAGGAAUAUUGGUCAAUGGACGAGAGUCUGAACCAGCCAAGUAGCGUGCAGGAUGACGGCCCUCGUGGGUUAGUAAACUGUCUUUUAGGUUGGGAAAUAAAAAGGAGGGACGUCGUCCCUAAUUGUAUGUACCAUCAGAAAAGGACCGGCUAAUUCCGUG
rnacentral:rRNA from 1 species